AUGAAUGGCAUCUUUUGGAACUGCAGAGGAGCAGGUAAAAAAGGGAUGAUGACCUGCUUCUCUGAUCUUAUAAAAGAUCAUUCCCUAGAUUUUUUGUGCCUACAAGAAACUAUGAAGAAGAAAUUUUUUAGGAAUAUUGACCCUUAUAAGACCUUUGAGUGGAGCUGGAUUCCCUCUAUUGGUAAGUCCGGAGGCAUGCUUUGUGGGGUGAAAAAAGAGAAGCUAGAAAUAGUAUCUUGGUCUCUGGGAAAAUAUAUCUUACAAGUUGUUAUAUUUGAUGUGGCUAAACAAUAUGUAUGGGCUCUGCUUAAUGUUUAUGGUGCUAUCGACGAUGAUCAAAAAGAGGAAUUCCUUUCUGAACUUGCUAACUUUUGUAGCCACUUGACAAUGCCUUAUAUAGUUGGGGGUGAUUUUAAUAUUCUAAGGCAUUGUGGAGAAAAUAAAUAA
rnacentral:rRNA from 1 species